rnacentral:rRNA from 1 species
UACGAAGGGGCUGGAGACGUUGUUCGGAAUUUACUGGGCGUAAAGGGCGCGUAGGCGGCCUGCUAAGUCGAACGUGAAAUCCCCGAGCUCAACUCGGGAACUGCGUCCGAUACUGGCAGGCUUGAAUCCGGGAGAGGGAUGCGGAAUUCCAGGUGUAGCGGUGAAAUGCGUAGAUAUCUGGAGGAACACCGGUGGCGAAGGCGGCAUCCUGGACCGGCAUUGACGCUGAGGCGCGAAAGCCAGGGGAGCAAACGGG